UACGUAGGGGGCAAGCGUUGUCCGGAUUUAUUGGGCGUAAAGAGCGUGUAGGCGGCCAGGUAGGUCAGCUGUGAAAACUCGAGGCUCAACCUCGAGACGUCGGUUGAAACCACCUGGCUAGAGUCCGGAAGAGGAGAGUGGAAUUCCUGGUGUAGCGGUGAAAUGCGCAGAUAUCAGGAGGAACACCGAUGGCGAAGGCAGGUCUCUGGGCCACUACUGACGCUGAGAAGCGAAAGCAUGGGGAGCGAACAGG
rnacentral:rRNA from 1 species